rnacentral:rRNA from 1 species
AUUGAACGCUGGCGGCAGGCCUAACACAUGCAAGUCGAACGAGAGGCGGACGGGUGAGUAAUGUCUGGGAAAUUGCCUGAUGGAGGGGGAUAACUACUGGAAACGGUAGCUAAUACCGCAUACCAUCGGAUGUGCCCAGAUGGGAUUAGCUAGUAGGUGGGGUAAAGGCUCACCUAGGCGACGCUCCCUAGCUGGUCUUAGAGGAUGAUCAGCAACACUGGAACUGAGACACGGCCCAGACUCAUACGGUAGGCAGCAGUGGGGAAUAUUGCACAAUGGGCGCAAGCCUGAUGCAGCCAUGCCGCGUGUAUGAAGAAGGCCUUCGGGUUGUAAAGUACUUUCAGCGGGGAGGCGUUACCCGCAGAAGAAGCACCGGCUAACUCCGUGCCAGCAGCCGCGGUAAUUC